UACGUAGGUGGCAAGCGUUAUCCGGAUUUACUGGGUGUAAAGGGCGUGUAGGCGGGACUGCAAGUCAGAUGUGAAAACCACGGGCUCAACCUGUGAACUGCAUUUGAAACUGUUUCCCUUGAGUAUCGGAGAGGUCAUCGGAAUUCCUAGUGUAGCGGUGAAAUGCGUAGAUAUUAGGAAGAACACCAGUGGCGAAGGCGGAUGACUGGACGACAACUGACGGUGAGGCGCGAAAGCGUGGGGAGCAAACAGG
rnacentral:rRNA from 1 species